GCCCGUCUGUAUUUACUCAAUAGGUAGGACCCCAGUCACGGCUACCCUCCACCAUGCCCGUCUGUAUUUACUCAAUAGGUAGGACCCCAGUCACGGCUACCCUCCACCAUGCCCGUCUGUAUUUACUCAAUAGGUAGGACCCCAGUCACGGCUACCCUCCACCAUGCCCGUCUGUAUUUACUCAAUAGGUAGGACCCCAGUCACGGCUACCCUCCACCAUGCCCGUCUGUAUUUACUCAAUAGGUAGGACCCCAGUCACGGCUACCCUCCACCAUGCCCGUCUGUAUUUACUCAAUAGGUAGGACCCCAGUCACGGCUACCCUCCACCAUGCCCGUCUGUAUUUACUCAAUAGGUAGGACCCCAGUCACGGCUACCCUCCACCAUGCCCGUCUGUAUUUA